rnacentral:rRNA from 1 species
CCUACGGGUGGCAGCAGUGAGGAAUAUUGGUCAAUGGGCGCGAGCCUGAACCAGCCAAGUCGCGUGAAGGAUGACUGCCCUACGGGUUGUAAACUUCUUUUAUAAAGGAAUAAAGUGAGGCACGUGUGCCUUUUUGUAUGUACUUUAUGAAUAAGGAUCGGCUAACUCCGUGCCAGCAGCCGCGGUAAUACGGAGGAUCCGAGCGUUAUCCGGAUUUAUUGGGUUUAAAGGGAGCGUAGAUGGGUUGUUAAGUCAGUUGUGAAAGUCUGCGGCUCAACCGUGAAAUUGCAAUUGAUACUGGCAGCCUUGAGUACAGUUGAGGUAGGCGGAAUUCGUGGUGUAGCGGUGAAAUGCUUAGAUAUCACGAAGAACACCGAUUGCGAAGGCAGCCUACUAAACUGCCACUGACAUUGAGGCACGAAAGUGUGGGUAGCAAACAGGAUUAGAUACCCUAGUAGUC